CGAGGUGUAGCGCAGUUUGGUAGCGCACAUGGUUUGGGACCAUGGGGCCGGGGGUUCGAAUCCCUCCACCUCGACCA
rnacentral:tRNA from 3 species